CACGUAGGGGGCGAGCGUUGUCCGGAUUUAUUGGGCGUAAAGAGCUCGUAGGCGGUUCGGCAAGUCGGGUGUGAAAUUUCGAGGCUCAACCUCGAAACGCCACUCGAUACUGCUGUGACUGGAGUCCGGUAGAGGAGUGCGGAAUUCCUGGUGUAGCGGUGAAAUGCGCAGAUAUCAGGAGGAACACCGAUGGCGAAGGCAGCUUGCUGGGACGGUACUGACGCUGAGACGCGAAAGCGUGGGGAGCAAACAGG
rnacentral:rRNA from 1 species